GCACAGAAGAGGGUUGGGGAAAUUUUCUGUCAAUGCAAUUCUCACAGGCAAUGCAGCUUCAAGUGCAACUGUAGAUGCAUCUGUACUUAACCUCACAGCAAGGAGCGGCUCCCAACCCUUCAGACUGCACCUUCAGGCACCUUUUAUUUUUCUGUGUCUCUUUUGGAGAGGUGCGAGUGGGGCAAAUUACGAAGAACCUUAAUUACGAAGGGAGGGGACAGAGGUUCCAUUGGCUGUCCCCAAUGGGAGUCUUAAAGACACCUGCAGCCAGCCAGCUGUGGACACCGGGGGACACUGGGACGUUCCUCCUUGUCUCCACCCGCUGAAGUUCGCUCUAGAGAAGCUAGCUUGCAUCUCCGCACAGAAGAUCCGCAGCGCUCGCAGAUCUGGUCCGGGGUCCUGACGCUCCCGGGGAGCCACGGAGAUCGGGUGGACCACAGCGGAGCUGAGAACCGGGGGCGAGCGUGCGGAGCCUUUCCAGGCGAAACAGCGCGCACCGCUCGGGCGGCGCCCAGCAUGGAGUGGAAGCUCAAUCUGCUGCUCUACUUAGCGCUCUUCUUCUUCCUGCUCUUCCUCCUGUUCCUCCUGCUCUUCGUGGUCAUCAAGCAGCUGAAGAACUCGGUGGCCAAUACAGCCGGGACGCUGCAGCCGGGGCGUCUGUCGCUGCACCGGGAGCCUUGGGGUUUCAAUAACGAGCAAGCAGUGUGACCUGGCUGGCAGGGUCUCAGCUCCAAAGGGACUCAGGUAUACCACCCCUCUAGAGCGGCGGCAAGGGGACACACUCUCUGUUCCUCCCGGGUCUCUGGACCCGCUACAGUGCAGGGGACCGCGGGGACCGGAGUCUAGUCCCGGAUCGAGUUUUUCUAGAGUAAGCCUGAUUCCGAGAGAGCGGAGACGCGCGAUGAGGGACAGCUUUGGGGCCAAGAAUGGUUUGCAUGUCUGAGAACUCUUCUUCCCGGACCAACUUCACUUGUAUCUAAGGGUGGAAAACUCUAUUAUUCAGUCAGCUCAGCUCAGCCACUUCCAACUGAAGAGUGCGAGCUUUGAGGGGAAUUUCUAUGGUGGUGCCCGAGAGAAAUGAUUCAGUGGCCUCUUUGGGGUGGGGGAUUUCCUCCUAUCUUUGAUUGUUAUUCCUAGUCUAGCCUGAGGUUUGUUAAGGGUAGGCUUAGACUCUGGGACAUCAGAGGGCGAGUAUGAGCAUGAUUCGCUGGAAAAUGACCUUUAGAUGAUGGCUCGGAGGACAGACAAAGGGGCUACUUUGCAUAGUGUAGGAGGAGCCGAAAGAGCAGUGUGAGGAGAGAGGCCUGUUUGUGGUUAAUAUAGCAGACCUUUUGGGAAAGGCUGACUGUCUAAAGUAAAACUCACCUGUGCAAGGUGGGAUAAUGUUAGUUUGAGAGAUCAUUUCGCCAUCAGAUCCGAUUGCUUUUCCUAGAUCUAUGUCAUCUGGACCCAGGCUGGUACCCUUGACAGGAGGUACCCAGGACAGAAACUCUUAUCACAGCCUAAGAACCCUGAAAAGCUGGGAGUGGAGGAAAUCUUGCAAAAGGGUCUUAUGUGGUCUCCAUUGCUCCCCACAAGGAGGAAACGGGGAGGAAAACGGCAUGCCUGUCUGAGUCCACUUCCUUCUCAAGAGUUUCUCGGUGGCCAGGACUAUGUCAGGGGCCACUGUCCUUUAACAACAUAGACGCUAUUGCCUUCAACCAAAAUCCAAGCUCUCUAGAUUAGGAUAAAGGAUCUUGGGCGGACAGCCAGAAGUCUACACUCUAGUUACAAAGGACAGUUGUGCAGAAAGCAGUGUUCAAGAAAGAUGGACCUCCUGGUUCCCUCACACCUCAUGGUUCCCUCAAAGCCCCAAGUGAUUUGGCUGAGCAGAAUGACAAUGGCUCUCUCCCUAGUUCUCAAGAAAUGUUUGUCAGGACUGGCUUCCUCUCUGGCCAGCUGGCUCCCUGUACCAGGAUUUUCUAAGCAAGUUGCCCGGAAGCCUGCACAUUUGUGUGUGUUGGGAGGUCUGGGGCUUGAGGGAGUCUUCAUAAUCUCUUCAUGGAGCUUUGGUAUAGGAUCAAUCAACAGAAAUUGUUUUCUUUUGCUCCUUUUUGGUCCCCUCUAUCAUGUUCCAGUUAAUUAGGUUUUGUGGUAGCUAAGUUUGUGCAUUUGAUCCCUAGAAAGGCCAUCCAUUCCAUACACAAGGAAAGGCACUCUGUGCUCAGAAAGGCUACCUCUCUUCCUUCUGUGACUCUACCCUCAAUCCAGGAAUAUCCCGGGAGAUCGCCUCUCUGCUUCUACUCACAGCCUACGUACUGGCCAAGCCGAGGGAGAAGAAACACUUCCCACACCCAGAGCUGUGCAAAAGAACUUUCUGUGAUAUGAAACUGUUCUAUAUCUGUGGUGCCCAAUACGGCAACUACUAGUCACAUGUGUCUAGUAAACACUGAAAUAUGGCUAGCAGGGAUUAAAUUGUAUUUAAUUUCACCUGAGACAGCCACAUGGGGCUGGUGGCUUUUGUAUGUACAGUACAUAUCAUUCUCUUGUGUGUGUGUGUGUGUGUGUGUGUGUGUGUGUGUGUGUGUGUGACAGCUAGCCAUGGACUCCACACCCCAUGGUCUUCCUUUGUUCUUGCAUUCAGUUUUUCUCCUUGAGGAAAAAGAAAAUAAGUUAGAUCUAAAUUGAGAAUGUUCACAUCUGCCUAUUGCCUGUCUUCCUGCACCAAAUGGGAUAGGUUUUUGUGAUAGUUGACCAUGGAGAAUAUGGCAGUGUUGACUCACUACAUCCCCAUGUUCCCAGGCCUUGUCCCUAACCAAGGUCAUGCUGUCUUGUGCAGUUUAGUCCGUUUCAGUUCACUUUUUAAUAUUGUAAAUCCCAAAUGAUUAUAGUGUAUGUUUUUCAAGAUACCUAAUGGUUUAUAUUUUUUAAGGUUGUGAAUAAAAAAUAACAAUUACGUGUAAUUCAGGUGUGUGUGUGUGUGUGUGUGUGUGUGUGUGAGAGUGUGUGAUUUUUAGUAACUUAUUACCCAAACUUUGUUGUAUUAAUUAGGAUAUGAUUAAUAAAUGGAAAGUGAUAUUGCUUUUUAUAUCAGA